ensembl:lncRNA
UAGGGAAGCACACAUUUCCCGAUUUCCCUGUUUUUUUCUUUACACGAAACAGCCAUGCCUAAAAGGAGCAAAGCAAAUGCUGAUUCUGAGGCAGCAGAGCCCAAGAGAAGAUCUGAGCGAUUGGUUAACAAACCGGCUACUCCAAAGGCAGAGCCCAAGCCAAAGAAGGAGAAGGCAGCACCUAAGCCCAAGAAGGCUAAAGAGGUGAAGAAGACUGAGCCUGAGGAGAAGGAGGAGGUGCCCGCAGAGAAUGGGGAAGCCAAAGCUGAGGAUGAGGCACCAGCCACAGAUGAACCUGAACAGAAAGAUGAUGAAGAGGAGGCAGCAGAAUAACAUCUCUCAAACCACAUCUUUUAUCAGUGCUCCCUGUACCUCUUUUUCUUGUACAAUUCAGGGGAAUAUUUUUAUCGACUUUUCUAAAUGCAGGUUUUUUAGUAGUUUGAUUGUAGAAACAUUUUUUUAUGAAACAAAAUAAAUUUGGAGACAGGGAUUUCAAUGCAUCCCGCAUUUUUACAUCUCCGGAACAAUUAUGGUCAUUGUAAAUUGUCAAAUGUUUUUAUUUUCAAUGUAGGGGAAAGAAGGGGUGGGACAGGUUGCUGUAUCAAGAACAUGCAAUCACGUCGUUUACAGGAUCCGGUUGAAACAACAGAGCUUGCCUAAAAAGAGACUAACAUUCCAUAGGCUAUAUGAGGGACGGUAUAUGUAACCUGCAUUGUGUGGUGGGGAGGGGAUGAAUAACUGAACACAUUGUUGUAUUGUUUAUAAUGAGGAAAUGCGUUUUAGAAUGUUUGUAAGCUGUGUUCCACAUGUUAACUCUUGUACUCAUGGCAACUUUUUUUUGCUUUUUUUUUUUUUUUUUCGAACCAUUCUGCUUAAUAAACCUUUUCUCUAGUACUGGAGUUUCUCCCUAUCAGGCCUGUGCAUUGCGCGUAAUUGGUUUUGUCUUUGUUUUGUGAUAGCAUUGCAAUACAUUUGUAUAGAUGCUGUUAAAAAGGGUUUUCAAACAUUAUAUGCAGUGUGUACACUGUGAGGAUGGUAAAAAUGGAAUUCUGUGUUUUUAGCAAAGCUAAUGACAUGCAUAACAGUGUGAUACAAACAGUGGAUUAUAGUUCCUUGAAUGCAGAGACUGUGCGUCCACUGGAGCUGUCAAAUACACACACCAGCAGUAGCAAUAUUCAUAUGCGUUUUAGGUAUCAAGUUCAAGUGUACAGUUUCUUUUAUUUGUUUAUAGAUGUAUCUGUGUAAUGAUUGGUAUAAACCAAUAAAAUGUGGUUAUAAUUGUUGUCUAAUUGUGUUAUGAAAAUAAUGUGUGAAUCCAAACCCUCUAGUUAGAAGUAGAUAGAAUUUUAGAAGCUACUUGAUUGGAAAGUUAAAAAAUACACAGCAGUAACAAAGAACAUUGCAAUUGUGACUGGGAUGUCAACUGUUGUUCAAAGAAACAAACUAGAUAAUCCUAUAUAAUGGAAUUAAAUGAGGGAGAAAAAUUGAUGUCUCCUCUGUACUUUGAAUUCAAGCUAUAUAUUGUACAGUGUGAGCUAAGAAUAUAGAAUUAUAGAAUCUGAGUAGCAAGGUGAUAAGUCAAUUCCUCCUUACUAUCUGGAUAAUAAGGAAAAGUUGAAUGUGUGAUUACAGAUAUUGUGUUACAGACCUAAUUGCCUCUUCCCCUGAAAACCAUAAUGUACACUUGUCAAGGAAAGGGCUGAUGGCAACAACUACAAUUUGUCCUUUGAAAAAACUGGUUUCACUUUACGGACCAAUGGAAUGGUUUAAAGUCUGCCUAAUUGGGACAUGCAAACUACUCACUACUUUAGUUAUUCCAACGAGUAUUCACUCGCAUUGGAUUUCCCACUGAUCAAC